rnacentral:rRNA from 1 species
AGUGAACGCUGGCGGUAGGCCUAACACAUGCAAGUCGAACGGCAGCACAGUAAGAGCUUGCUCUUACGGGUGGCGAGUGGCGGACGGGUGAGGAAUACAUCGGAAUCUACUUUUUCGUGGGGGAUAACGUAGGGAAACUUACGCUAAUACAGCAUACGACCUACGGGUGAAAGCAGGGGAUCUUCGGACCUUGCGCGAUUGAAUGAGCCGAUGUCGGAUUAGCUAGUUGGCGGGUUAAAGGCCCACCAAGGCGCCGAUCGGUAGCUGGUCAGAGAGGAUGAUCAGCCACACUGGAACUGAGACACGGUCCAGACGCCUACGGGAGGCAGCAGUGGGGAAGAUUGGACAAUGGGCGCAAGCCUGAUCCAGCCAUACCGCGUGGGUGAAGAAGGCCUUCGGGUUGUAAAGCCCUUUUGUUGGGAAAGAAAAGCAGCAGGUUAAUACCCCGCUGUUCUGACGGUACCCAAAGAAUAAGCACCGGCUAACUUCGUG